UUUUAUUUUUUAUUUUUAUACAAAAGUAAAAAAUGUCGUGGUGUUAUUGAACAAACGCGCCUGAGCUAACACGGGUAAAGAAUCCUCUCGUGACAUUCAAGGAACGGACUGAACACUACAUAUUGGUACACAAUUGAAAGGAAAACUAUGACACUCAAU